UACGAAGGGGGCUAGCGUUGCUCGGAAUCACUGGGCGUAAAGCGCACGUAGGCGGACUCUUAAGUCGGUGGUGAAAUCCUGGAGCUCAACUCCAGAACUGCCUUCGAUACUGAGAGUCUCGAGUCCGGGAGAGGUGAGUGGAACUGCGAGUGUAGAGGUGAAAUUCGUAGAUAUUCGCAAGAACACCUGUGGCGAAAGCGGCUCACUGGACCAUAACUGACGCUGAUGCACGAAAGCUAGGGGAGCAAACAGG
rnacentral:rRNA from 1 species